CGACUCUUGUGACAUGUUUGAUCCAAUGAACUCGCUCCCCUUUUCCUGGAGCCUCAGCCUCUGGUGAAACUGGACUUUCAAGUCUGUGCAGGUGAAGGUGUGUGAGAGCGCCCGAGAUGGCAGAACAAGAGCUACAGGUUCUAAACAAGAUGAGACACAAAAUAAAGAUUAAAGAUGGAGUCCAAAAUGUCAUCUUCCCAACUGACAGAGAUACAGUUGAGGUGGUGACUUAAUGGGGAACCAAAUUGAGCCUACAGCCUGAAUCGAGUUCCAGUCCCCACCUGGUCGCAGGCCAGCAAACUGCCACUAUGAAAGAGCAAAGGAAAGCCUGUGCUGCCUGCAGGCAGGUUCUGUUCAAGGGAAUGAAAGACAGCCAGAAGCCAAAACAUGUCCAGUUUAUCUUCCCAAAUUUUCAAAUCAGGGAUUCAGACAAGUCAAGGCACAGGAGAGGUGAAAGCUUCCGCGUUUAUCCCUGAAGAUCAGAGCCUCCGAGCGGCCGAGGAUCGGCGGGAAGGGGGCGGCUGGUCCCUGGAGGCGGCCGCGCCCAUGUGCAGAGACGGGCCUGCACUCACGAGUGGAAGCUCCUGAAUUCCUGUGGGGGCCAAGAGUUGGAAUAUGGUGUGAGUGGAGACAGGCUCCAGGAAGAGUUCAGGAAGGCGAGGGAGCCAGUAAUCCACAGCAGCGUGACAAGGGAAAGAUGCGGGCCAUCUGGAAAGCUACUCGAGGCAUCUCUCCUCUCUGCGGUAAUUUCUCUCCCUGGAUCACUUGCCAGAGUUGGCUGCCAAGGCAAGGACUCUCCUGGAAGUUGAGAAACUGCUGAAAUAGUGUGAAGAUUCAGGAACUAAAAGCCAUGCUGCAGACGGGAAUUGCUGGAAGACUUUCCUCUCUCUGGGCCGCCUCCUCUUCCCGCCUCUCCCAUUCUAAAACAUGUUUUAGGUUCUGUCUUUCAUGAAAUUCCUUCUUAUCCCAAUUUCCACUUCCUACUUUCCUGGGCACCAAAAAGGGAAGGGGGAGCACUGAAUGUUGAAAGCAGCCACCCCCAGUCCUCACCCCAACACACACACACACACACACAUACACACACAUCUCUAAAACACUUCACCCAUUUUUAGCAGAUAAAAAGGUUAAAGGAAAAUGUAGACUUUUGCCAGGAUCUAUCUUAUUGCCUAAUCAAUCUGCUUGGAUGGUAUGACUGACAUAUUUUAAAACAGACUUUCAGAUUUUAAGCUAGCUGCUCUGUGAUUGAUUCGGCCUUUUGUCACGAACGCUUUGUAUUUGGAGGGUAGAGGUGGCAGAGCCUGUAUGCGGCUGAUGGGGGGAAUUUUGAACAUAUUUGUGCUGAUCUCACCAGCCUUUGAGGGGACGCACCAAACAUUUUUCUUUCGUGUGCUUGUGUCUGUGGUUCGUGUACAUGUGGGGUUAUUAUUCUACUUAGUACCUCCAUUCAGUUCGCCCCGGAGAGUUUUCUAGAGACAUUGACUUUCUUUACUUAUUUUUUUAAUUCAAGUGUCACAAAUGUUGAACAUCAGUAAAUUGCUCUGACUUGAUUUAAGCCAUUGUUGAAUUCGACCUUAAUCAUAACCACAGGAGUAUAGUCUAUGCAAAUUCUUUAGUGUUUUGUAGAAGCGAGUAGUUUAUAUGUUCAUUCAAGUGAAGUAUUCAUAGUCACAUUUUUGCUUAAAUACUAAGAUACAACAUUUCCAGGCAAAAAGUAAAGAGUGGUCCCCAAACCUGUAACUCUUUAAAAUGAUGUCAUUCUAGUUGGGGGUGGGUGUAGCUCAGUGGUAGAGAGCAUGGUUAGCAUGCACGAGGUCCUGGGUUCAAUCCCCAGCACUUCUAUUAAAAUAAAUAAAUA